rnacentral:lncRNA from 1 species
UCCCCAUAGGGGAGAAGCCCUGUGAAUGUAACAAAUGCAGCAAGGCAUUUGUCUCCUUUCCCUGUGUGUCACAGAGUCUUGUCAGUGUAGUCUACAGAGCAUUCACCUGCCACAUGUCAAGCCUAGUACACACCAGAGAAGGCUCGCUGCUGAGAGGCCUUAGGAAAGUAAGGACGAGGAAACAUUUCCAGCAAAUGUGUGGCGGGGUCCUCAAGUAGAAAAGCUCUGUGGGUGGGAGUGGGGGAGUCCCAACAGCAGGUAACUCACUGUGUGGCACUCGCACAGCUGAGAAGUGUGAGGUGAGUGCAGUGUGUGUGUGGAGAAACCUUUUCCUAGAUGUCAGAUCUCAGCAGUCAUUAGGUGAGGAACGCUUCAGCUGAAAGGCACCCUUUACUGCAUACCAAAGAAGGCAGGUAGGAUAAGCCAUAGCACUUUAAUGUGUGUACAAAAACUUGAUUCUGUAAGGCGAAGACAUCUGUCUCCACUAGAGAACCACGCAAACACAGAACCCCAUGAAUAUAAAAACUGAACCAAAAAACAAAAAGACAAUCAAAACAAAACUCACAAAAGCCCUGAGAUUUUAAAGAAUGUAGAAAAUAUUUCAUGUGCAAGAACUCAAAUAGGUAAUCAUACACUCACAUAAGUAUGUAUAACAAACAGACAUAAUGUGCAUCAGAAAUCCCUACCCCUGAGAAACCAGAGUGAUAUAUACACACACACACGCACACGCACACACAUACACACGCAUGACUUACCCAGUGCAAACACUGGAGGGCUCGCAGGCUGGAAGUACCUAAAUGUCAUGUACAUGGACAACCCUUUUACAGGAAGGUGACCUCCACAUUGAAGAAUCCAUAAGAGAGGGGAUGCUGUUAACAUGUGGGAAAGCCUAUCUAGAGUGUUACAGAUAUGGAAAAAUGUCACUGUGAGAGGUCCUAUAUGCACAAGUCUCCUGUGCUAAGAUUCACUUUUCUUCCUUUACCGGGGCCUGGCAGCCUAUAUGUGUGUGUAGUGCUUUGGGGAGAACAUGCCCUAAGUUUUAUCGGAGUUUUAACAUUUGUAAUGAGUCCUUUCUUUCUGGCCUCAACCACGAAUGCGUGCAAUACAUUAUCUCUGAAUUUGUCCUCACGGCCUGAAAGGCAGGGAGGUUUACCUUUGAUAAGAAAUGUAGCAAACGGCACUGAUUUAAGGACAUGCCUUAUUGGAGAGAGUGAAGGCUUCGUAUGUUUAUAAAUCUCCUGUUUGUAUGGUGAUAUAACAUUCUACACAAGCUUUUUGCAACGUAAAGCAAAUUCAUUGUAACUCAUUUUAAAAGCAUCUCAGACAGAACCUUUCAUGUGUUUUCAAGCCAUUUGGUGGAUAAAAAGAACCAUGACAUUUCAAUAAACUCUAAAUGCCUUACCUGGCACCAGCAUCACAUUAAAAAGAUCGUAAAGCUUUUUUCAUGUGUGGAAUAUAUGUGUAUCCAUAAAACAUUGACAUCCGUAUAUGGGAAAUUAUUCAUUAAAAUGACAUUGUCACUCUCUAAAAAGUGUUAAGAGUUCUAAGAUUAUUUCUGAGCGGGGUGUAGCGGGGUGUAUCUUUAAUUCCAACACCCAGAAGGCAGAGGCACUCAGAUAUCUGAGUUUGAGUCCAGCCUGGUCUUCAGAGAGAGAGUUCUAGGCCAGCAGAGCUACACGAUGAGACCCCAACUUAAAAAUAUAAAAAGUAACAAUUGUUGAAUGCGCCAUAGAAUGAGGAACAUUGAUGUUUGUCACAACCAAAGUUUAAGAACUGCAGCUAACACUAGUGGCUACCAGGACUGCAGCUGAGGUCCCUGGAGGACACGAUUGUCCUUGUCCUGAGGCAUGAACAGGUGUCUACUUAGUCCGAUGGGGCACUAACAACAGACCAAAGAAACAAUUCUCUCACGCUCCCGUCUGGUGAGUCCAGUGAGUUUACUGAGCUUGCAGGAGUGUGAUGGCAGCAGCUGCAUCACUGAAAAGCCCACCUCGGUGUGGAGGUGACCUGGGAAAAGUGGGACGCUUACAGGAAGCUCAGCAGGCAUAUAGCUUGUCAGAGAGCCUCCCCUUCCCAGCAGCCUUUCCUGUUUCAUAGGCUUAGGAAGGGAUGGGCGCUGUGCAUCUUAUAUGGGGGGCUUUGGGAGACUUAGGGGUUUAUUUUUGAGUCUUCAUGGGCAUUCCCCCAGGACGGAAUGUUUUCAUUCAGGGGGUACAGCUACACACCAGGCACAACAGACUGCUACAGGUAAGGUUUGCACAUACGAUUUUAUCACACUAGCAGACGUUCUCUGGAUGCAGGGGCAUGCCGGAAAUGCACUUUUUGUAAUGUUCUUUAAUGAUUUUCAUUAAGGUUUUCCUCAUUAAAUUUUAUCCUAGCCUGUUUACAUCUUGUAAGGCUCCUAUUUGUAUUUUCUUAAUCUUUUAAAAUUUAACUGUAUAUGACGUUUGCAACCAACUAUCUGCCAAUUAUAGAUGUUAGUGCUUUUCUAACAUGGUGAUUUCUUAAUGUGAACCAAUAUUUCUAAAAGAGUAAAUAUUAAGGUAGGAAAACAUGAAUAAAGAUAUUUUUCACAGCC